GAUCCUGGCUCAGGAUGAACGCUAGCUACAGGCUUAACACAUGCAAGUCGAGGGGAAACGACAUCGGAAGCUUGCUUUUGAUGGGCGUCGACCGGCGCACGGGUGAGUAACGCGUAUCCAACCUGCCCACCACUUGGGGAUAACCUUGCGAAAGUAAGACUAAUACCCAAUGACGUCUCUAGAAGACAUCUGAAAAGGGGAUUAAAGAUUUAUCGGUGAUGGAUGGGGAUGCGUCUGAUUAGCUUGUUGGCGGGUAACGGCCCACCAAGGCGACGAUCAGUAGGGGUUCUGAGAGGAAGGUCCCCCACAUUGGAACUGAGACACGGUCCAAACUCCUACGGGAGGCAGCAGUGAGGAAUAUUGGUCAAUGGGCGAGAGCCUGAACCAGCCAAGUAGCGUGCAGGAUGACGGCCCUAUGGGUUGUAAACUGCUUUUAUAAGGGAAUAAAGUGAGUCUCGUGAGACUUUUGCAUGUACCUUAUGAAUAAGGACCGGCUAAUUCCGUG
rnacentral:rRNA from 1 species